GCCGUCGUGGGCCAUGGAGGCCGCCCGCACCAAAUUCGCAUCACCAGUUUGAACAGGGGAGACGGAGGUUCGAUUCCUCCCGAUGGCA